AUUUAUUCCUUUUCCAUCUGAGUUUGUAAGGGGUACCAUCCCUUAUCCUUCAUCACAUAAUACAUAUUUAAGAAUAUUUUUCUUAGCUUUAAAUGAGUUAGUUGGAGGAACAAGAAGAAAGCCAUGGAUUCCAUUUGCAAGAAUGGAAGCGGACCCUUUCCUUCUAUUCCAAGUCCCAACAGGAGAGUCUGCAUUUGGGUUUUUGAGAACUUGAAAUGGGUCAUGUGUAGGCAGUCAGGACACUCGGUCCACCUUGUCUCAUAGCCCUAAAGGGUUAAUUUCAUCACUAUAGGGAGGUGGAAAACUCAGAGCUAUAACUUUCAGGAAUUCUCAAAACCUGAGCAUUGCAGACCAAGUGCCCCUUUGUUUCAUCAUCCAUCUGUUGAAGUAUAUUUUCAUUCCAUCUGCACACUCACAUACACAACACUGCAAGUUGUGUUCAUCUUCAUUUGCAAUUAGCUUAAUGCAUUUUGUGUCCUAUAUUUACACUGGGUAAGGAAUGGUAUCAGUCUCUCAAAACUAAAGGUCAUUGCAAAAAAUUAUAUCAUUCUGGAAAAAUGUGAUAAUUCUUCAAACACUUUUAGAUGUAAUUCUACAAUCAGAUCUAAUAGGCAAAGGUGUAGAUUCAACUUUAGAUUGCAUCUCUCCCCAACCAAGUCUCAACUUCAAAAAGCCAAGCAGAUUGCCUUGUACACUUGUGCAUUUGUUAUCACCACCCUGUCAACCUCACAUUUACUUCCUGAGCCCCAACAAGACCCCUCAGAGAAGCAUUAUAUAUUUGUCAAUAUCCUGGAGCUUUGAAACUCCCAAGUGCUUCUACCAUUUGACCCGAAACUUCCUCUCUUCUCGGAUUCCUGUCUCUCAACACAACACAAACAAACCUUUGCUUAAAUUAGCCCAUGUGUGAAUGUUUAGGGUCAUUUGUUUCAGAUCCACAGAGGCUCCAAAUCUCUUGGCUAAAUUUUGAUGUAUCUUACCCAAAUGCCAGUAGCCUGAACUCUUAACUGUAGCAGUCCCUGGGCUCAGUAUCAAAGGCCCUAUAGGUUCUGUGUUUAGGUGUUUGCAUUCUACUCGUUUCUGUUUUCAGAACAUAGCAGAAGUAUAGGAGUAACACUUUAGUUGGAUGUGGGCCCUAAAAUAGCUGUUACUUUGCGGCACUUAUAAGAAUCUGAAGCUGCUCAUCAUCCAGUCAACAUUUACAGAGUUAAUCAUAUUGUUUGCAUUUACCUGGCAUUACUCCUUGGCAUUCAGAUUCAUUUUGACCAGAUAAACCUUGAUAUCAUUUACUAUUAAGUCAUAGAUAGUAAAAAAAAAAUCAAAACUAUUGUUAUUGAGGAUUUUGAAUUGAAAAAAAAAGACAGCAUGUCAUAUUAGAUGCAGUCAUUCCUCAAUUUCUCAGUUUUUAUUGCCUUUGGAAAAAAACAACACUUAGAUAAAAAUACAAUAUUUUAAAAUUUUUGUCAUUUUCAUUGGCAUUGAGGAAGACAUUGUCAUUCUCACAACUGAUUCAGUGAUUUGUCAGAAAUGAGGAAGCCUUAAUUACAUUCUUUACAACUUCACCUGCCUACACAUAGCAUAGAAUUCAUUGCAUUUAAAAAUUAAAAGCUCUAACUUUUGCCUCCUUUCACAUUUUAGCAAUGUGUUCAUUGCAUUAUUCAGAUAAAUAACCAACAUUACAUUCAUUCAACAAAUAUAACCAGGGCCAACAUGUGACAGAUGUUGGGAAAUAUAUCAAGUAGAAUCAGAAGCGACACAUAAAAUAUAUAUUCAUUGCACCUAUUUAAAUAUUUCAAAGAGAUCUCUCUAAUCUAUAUGGUGUCAUUAGAAAACUACACAGGGGUGCCUGGGUGGCUCAGUCGGUUAAGUGGCAGACUUUGGCUCAGGUCAUGAUCUCGCGGUCUGUGAGUUCGAGCCCUGCAUCGGGCUCUGUGCUGACAGCUCAGAGCCUGGAGCCUGCUUCAGAUUCUGUGUCUCCCUCUCUCUGACCCUCCCCCAUUCAUGCUCUGUCUCUCUCUGUCUCAAAAAUAAAUAAACGUUAAAAAAAAUUUAGAAAACUACACAAAUGGUAUUCUGAAACUUUGGUGAACUUGAAGUAUAAGUUAAAAUCUUGACAAUGUUGAUAAAUAAUUUUCUUCAUGUUUCUUAGGAAAAUGACAUUUGAAAUGGACUUAAAAUGGUCUAAAGGUAGAAAUCUAAGGAAGAGGGAGGCAGUUGAGAGAUUCAAAAUAAGGAAACAUAGUGCUAUGUAAUGUCUAGAGACAACUAUUGAGUUGGAGAUUUUGACUAUCCAGCAGUCACCAUGGCCCCUCAGGUCACUCUAUAGGGGACUGAAAGUCUCGACUCUACUGGCUUUGUUACAGGGCCUCUUUAGGAACUCAGAGAAUCAUACUGGCUCCUUAAAGAUCAUGAGCUUUACCCACCUACCUGAACCUUAUCAACCUCUAAUGGUAGAAGUCAUUAAAAAAUCUCCCACUACCCACAAUCACUCACUUCCAGAGCUGGCCUGGUCUGUGAGAAUCUUCUAAGAAUCUUCAUGCUCAGUUCCUUCUUAAACUAACACAAGAGAAAAAAUCCUGGGCAUCCAGAGUAGAUAUCCCAGAGUGUAAUUAAAAAUUAGUAUCAUCAAAUCAUAUGAAUAAGCAGUUUUAAAGUAUUAUAUGUCAAGCCCAUAUCUUGUAAAUGCCAGAUAUUGAUAUAGUAAUUACAAAUGAAUUAUAUCUAUUUCAUAGGGCUGGGAUAAACUAAAAUUUUUGUUGAAGAAUCUCCAAUCUAUACACUGAAAACUAUAGAAACCUUAUGAAAUAGAUUGAAGAAGACACAAAAAAAUGGAAAAAGAUUCCAUGCUCCUGGAUAGGAAGAACAAAUAUUGUUAAAAUGUCUAAACCACCCAAAGCAAUCUACAUAUUCAAUGCAAUCCCUACCAAAAUAACACCAGCAUUCUUCACAGAGCUAGAACAAAUAAUCCUAAAAUUUGUAUGGAAACAUAAAAGACCACAAAUAGCCAAAGCAAUCUUGAAGAAGAAAACCAAAGCAGAAGGCAUCACAAUCCCAGACUUCAAGCUAUACUACAAAGCUGUAAUCAUCAAGACAGUAUGGUACUGGCACAAGAACAGACACUCAGAUCAAUGGAAAAGAAUAGCGAACCCAGAAAUGGACCCUGAAACUUAUGGCCAACUAAUCUUUGACAUAGCAGAAAAGAAUACCCAAUGGAAUAAAGACAGUCUCUUCAGCAAGUGGUGCUGGGAAAAGUGGACAGCGACAUGCAGAAGAAUGAACCUGGACCACUUUCUUACACCAUACACAAAAAUAAACUCAAAAUGGAUGGAAGACCUCAAUGUAAGACAGGAAGCCAUCAAAAUCCUCGAGGAGAAAGCAGGCAAAAACCUCUUUGAUCUUGCCCGCAACAACUUCUUACUCAACACAUCUCGGGAGGCAAGGGAAGCAAAAGCAAAAAUGAACUACUGGGACCUCAUCAAAAUAAAAAGCUUCUGCACAGCAAAGGAAAUAAUCAGCAAAACUAAAAGGCAACCUACAGAAUGAGAGAAGAUACUUGCAAAUGACAUAUCAGAUAAAGGGUUAGUAUCCAAAAUCUAUAAAGAACUGAUCAAACUCAACACCCAAAAAACAAAUAACUCAGUGAAGAAAUGGGCAAAAGACAUGAAUAGACACUUCUCCAAAGAAGGCAUCCAGAUGGCCAACUGACACAUGAAAAAAUGCUCAACAUCACUCAUCAUCAGGGAAAUACAAAUCAAAACCACAAUGAGAUACCACCUCACACCUGUCAGAAUGGCUAACAUUAACGACUCAGGCAACAACAGAUGUUGGUGAGGAUGCAGAGAAGAGGAUCUCUUUUGCAUUGUUGGUGGGAAUUCAAGCUGGUGCAGCCACUCUGGAAAACAGUAUGGAGGUUCCUCAAAAAACUAAAAAUAGAACUACCCUACGACCCAGCAAUUGCACUACUACGCAUUUAUGCAAGGGAUACAGGUGUGUUGUUUCGAAGGGACACAUGCACCCCCAUGUUUAUAGCAGCACUAUCAACAAUAGCCAAAGUAUGGGAAGAGCCCAAAUGUCCAUUGAUAUUAUUUAACAUCAUAGUCAUUUCUUCUCCCCUUUCCCAAUUUCUUUCUUUAAAACACACACACCCACACACACACACACACACACACACACACACACAUACACACACACCAUGGAGUAUUACUCGGCAAUCAAACAGAAUGAAAUCUUGCCACUUGCAACUAUGUGGAUGGAACUGAAGGGUAUUAUGCUAAGUGAAAUUAGUCAGAGAAAGACAAAAAUCAUAUGACUUCAUUCAUAUAAGGACUUUAAGAGACCAAACAGAUGAACAUAAGGGAACGGAAACAAAAAUAAUAUAAAAACAGGGAGGUGGACAAAACAGAAGAGACUCAUGGAGAACAAACUGAGGGUUACUGGAGGGGUUGUGGGAGGGGGGAUGGGCUAAAUGUGUAAGGGGCACUAAGGAAUCUACUCCUGAAAUCAUUGUUGCACUAUAUGCUAACUGAUUUGGAUGUAAAUUUUACACAAUUAAAAAUAAAAUAAAAUAAAAUAAAAGAGAAGAAAAGAAGACAAACAUUUAAAUACAAAUACCCAUGAAUAAUAAUAAUGAUGAUGAUAAUAAUAAUAAUAAUAAUAAUAAUAGAACCUUUUAUAGAAAAGUGCAUAAACAUUAGGGAGAAAAAUGAGAGUACUUCAGCAACACAAAAAAUCCAAUGCCAAUGACAUACUUCUGAAAUUAUUAAAUAUUUUCAAUUCAAAAUAGCCUAUUUUACAAUAGCAAAUAUAUGGAAACAACCUAUCUCUCCACUGACAGAUGGGAGGACAAAGAAGAUAUGAGUGGACAAAUGGAAUAUUAUUAUUCAGCCACAAGAAAGAGAGAAAUCUUCCACUGAGGCAACAUGAGUGAACCUGGAGGGCACUAAGUUAGGCAAAAUAAGUGAGACAGAAAAAGAUGAAUACUGUAUGAUCUCACUUGUAUGUGGAAUCUUAAAGUGUUUUCAAAAGUCACACUCAUAGAAACGGGAUAGAAUGGUGGUGACUAGGGGCUGGGAGGUGGGGGAAAUGGAGAGAUGUUGGUCAAAAGGCGCAAACCUUCAGUUAUAAGAUGAGUAAGUUCUACAGAUCUAAUGAACAGCAUGGUGACUAUAGUUAAUAAUACUGUAUUGUAUAAUUGAAAUUUGCUGAGAGAUUAGAUCUUAAGCAUUCUCACCACACAAAAAAAGAAAAGAAAAUAAAAGAAAAGAAAAGAAAAGAUAAAAGGUAAUUAUGUGAGGUGAUAGAUGUGUUAAUUAACCUGAUUGUGGUAAUCAUUUCACAAUGUUUCAAACCAUCAUGUUGUAUGCUUUAAAUAUACGCAAUUUUAUUUGUCAUUUAUACUUCAUAAAGCUG
rnacentral:lncRNA from 1 species